rnacentral:lncRNA from 1 species
CAAUGCUUCUGUAGUUCCAGGGGAGAGUCCAAAUGUGGUAAACAGCUCCUCCCUUCAGGCUUCUGCAGGGGCGUGCUGUGCCAGAUGGAGCACUUGACACUGUGCCUCUAACUUUCCGUCACCAGCAGAAUUCAGCCUCAAAGGGUGUCAUAAAAUUAUAGUUAUUCAGGAGCACAAAUCCACAACUCUAUGAAGUUAAGGUGAAGCUAACGUUGACACUAGCUCCCUGCUGCUCCCAGCCUUCAGAAAGCACAAGGCUGGCACUUGGUGUGGAUCCUCCAGGAGAGAUUUCCCCAGGAGCUCGCAAGCUCCCUCUGCUGGACCUCGGCCUGGUGAAGCCUGCUCGGUCCCUAUCCAAGUCCUGAGACUCCAACUCCGCAAGGAAUCAUUGCUGGUGAGGUUAGGACCUUGAAACCCACAGUCAGGACCCACUGGUUAACUGACAUGUAUGUUUCACUUUCACCCUCUAAACAUUAAUGACUACAAUUACACAAUGACGAACACAACUGAAAUAAGAUUCCAAAAUACCUAGAUCUUCUCUUAUUGAAAAUAAACAGCUCUGAAAAAAAUCACAACUUUCAGAC